AGAGUGAACGCUGGCGGCAGGCCUAACACAUGCAAGUCGAACGGCAGCACAGGAGAGCUUGCUCUCUGGGUGGCGAGUGGCGGACGGGUGAGGAAUACAUCGGGAUCUGCCUUAUCGUGGGGGAUAACGUAGGGAAACUUACGCUAAUACCGCAUACGACCUACGGGUGAAAGCGGAGGACCUUCGGGCUUCGCGCGAUAAGAUGAGCCGAUGUCGGAUUAGCUAGUUGGCGGGGUAAAGCCCACAGGCGACGAUCCGUAGCUGGUCUGAGAGGAUGAUCAGCCACACUGGAACUGAGACACGGUCAGACUCCGUAGGGAGCAGCGAGUGGGGAAUAGUGGACAAGUGGGCGCAAGCCUGACUCCAGCCA
rnacentral:rRNA from 1 species